AUCAUCAACAGAACCAGCAGUACACGGAUACCAGAUCAGAAGUUUUCAGAACACAUCAAAGACGUCAAGAUGGAUGAACUCCAGAAGCGCUACAUCUUAAAAAGGGACAACUCCAGCACAGACAAAGACGACAGUGUAAUGCGCAUGAAGCUGAAGGAGGACAGGAGGAGUAAGUCCAUCGAGGAGCGAGAGGAGGAGUAUCAGAGAGCCAGAGAGAGGAUCUUCGCUGAUGUGAGAUACG